rnacentral:lncRNA from 1 species
CAAACAGAGUAUCAUCAGUUUACUCCAAGAGGAUAAAUUUAUUUCUCCUCCAGCUUCUUUGACUCUUGUGAAAAGUAUGCUUCUGAUGACAGACGUACUAGCACUGCAAACAAUAGAGAAUACUGAAAAUUGUUCUUCUGCAGUGGAACCAUUAAACUUACUAAAUUUGGCACAUGAAAUCACCUUGAAAGAAAUUUUAGUUUGCGGAGAAUAUAUUGAACAGCAGAUAGAAGACAGUACAUUGACCUGCCUUGUCCUACCUGCAAAAAAUAUCUACUUGCCCUAUAUAAACCUUCUGGCCCAAGUCAAAAUGAGAAUUGGAAACACAUUAGCUGAAAGAGUAGCUUGCACACCUGAAAGAGAAGAUCCGCU